CAACAGCAGUGAUGCAGCAGCAGAUGUCUCUCUGAUAAAAGAUAUAUUCUUCUGUUAUUUCAUGCCAAAGAGGCCAUCGUCUUUUAACAGAUUGGGACAUCACAACCCCUUUUCUGAAGAUACAUCACGUUACCGACUGGAUACAGACAACUGAGUGUGUGAGUAACAGCAACAGGUUCUAGAAGGAUUUCUACAACCACACUGGAUGAACCUGUUCCAAAUGUUCCUGACCACUCACAUGGCAAAACAAUGCCAGGGUCAGGUCACUUGGCUUCACACUCCAUUUUAAGAUUAACCAUCGACAGCGACAUGAGAGGAGAAUCCACCUCUCAUGUCGUCCUGAGGGAAUACACAUACUACAUGUCAGAGUACCACAGGCCAGUUGACUGGAAAGGUCACAUGGUUCCAACACAGUGGAGUUUAUCUUGAAUUAGUGAAGUGUUGGAAAAUCACUAAUCCACUACACACCUACACUGACUUGUUAGGACAACCAGGCAAUUUGCUGGGUCCACAUCACACUGACUGCAAUAACUGAUAUUGGAACUUGACAUCACUGAUACAAGACAAAGAACACAGAAGACUAGAACUAAAGGACAUUUGAUACAAAUCUAGCUUCAUUCCUAACAAUCAAUAGUUCCUAAAUUGACUGGUGUUUUGAUAUUAAAUCAGGUAGAGGACUACAUAUAACUACCCAAAGAUUGGUCAUUGCUUUUUGUUUUUUUGUGUUGACUAUCAAGUUGCUUGAUAGUCAUAAUUACAAAAACUAUCCUGAUAUGUUUAAUAGUGCCAUAUUCCUUUUUUAAGGUAAAACCUGUGUUAUGGAAAUUUUGAACUACGGUGCAUUUGAGAAAUAUCUGCUUUUCUAUUGCCUGGUAUGUAACUAGUUUCUUUGAUUGUGAUACACGUCUGUAUAAAUAUCAGAGCAUCACUAGGUACUCUGACCAUGUUCCUUUCAACUGUAAUAAAUAUGAAAUGUAUAUGUAUCUACUUCAGAGACUCCUCAGAUGAUUAUCCUGUAAGCGGUUGACGUGUCUCUCUAUUUGCAAAUAAACUAUUAAUUGUGCCAAGAGAAUUUUGUCUCUGUACUUACUCCUUUAAAUGUUCUGAUCAAUGAAAUUGCCAUCACACCUGUCACUAGUGCAUUCAUUGGAGUUGAGUGUUGUGUUACGUCAGGAUAUUUUGAGUCGUUAUUAUGAUGUUGAUGCAUGACUCAUGAUAUGGACAAGGGGGG
ensembl:lncRNA